rnacentral:rRNA from 1 species
GUAGGUCACAAGCGUUGUCCGGAUUUACUGGGUGUAAAGGGCGUGUAGGCGGGAAAGCAAGUCAGAUGUGAAAACUGUGGGCUCAACCCACAGCCUGCAUUUGAAACUGUUUUUCUUGAGUACUGGAGAGGCAGAUGGAAUUCCUAGUGUAGCGGUGAAAUGCGUAGAUAUUAGGAGGAACACCAGUGGCGAAGGCGGCUUACUGGACAGUAACUGACGUUGAGGCUCGAAAGCGUGGGGAGCAAACAGGAUUAGAUACCCUGGUAGUCCACGCCGUAAACGAUGACUACUAGGUGUCGGGUGGCAAAGCCAUUCGGUGCCGCAGCAAACGCAAUAAGUAGUCCACCUGGGGAGUACGUUCGCAAGAAUGAAACUCAA